rnacentral:rRNA from 1 species
AACGAACGCUGGCGGCAUGCCUAACACAUGCAAGUCGAACGAAGCCUUCGGGCUUAGUGGCGCACGGGUGCGUAACGCGUGGGAAUCUGCCCCUUGCUUCGGAAUAACAGUUAGAAGUGACUGCUAAUACCGGAUGAAGUCUUCGGACCAAAGAUUUAUCGGCAAGGGAUGAGCCCGCGUAGGAUUAGGUAGUUGGUGGGGUAAAGGCCUACCAAGCCGACGAUCCUUAGCUGGUCUGAGAGGAUGAUCAGCCACACUGGGACUGAGACACGGCCCAGACUCCUACGGGAAGCAGCAGUGGGGAAUAUUGGACAAUGGACGCAAGUCUGAUCCAGCAAUGCCGCGUGAGUGAUGAAGGCCUUAGGGUUGUAAAGCUCUUUUACCAGGGAUGAUAAUGACAGUACCUGGAGAAUAAGCUCCGGCUAACUCCGUG